AGGACGAACGCUGGCGGCGUGCUUCAUACAUGCAAGUCGAACGAGAAGCUGACUUCGGUCAGUGGAAAGUGGCGGACGGGUGAGUAAUAUGUAGAGAAUCUGCCCUUGAGUGGGGGACAACAGAGGGAAACUUCUGCUAAUACCCCAUAUGAGCUAACUUGAAAUAGUUAUCUUGAAAACUCCGGUGCUCAAGGAUGAGUCUGCAUCUGAUUAGCUAGUUGGCGGUGUAAUGGACCACCAAGGCGACGAUCAGUAGCUGGUUUGAGAGGAUGAUCAGCCACAAUGGGACUGAGACACGGCCCAUACUCCUACGGGAGGCAGCAGUAGGGAAUUUUGCGCAAUGGGCGAAAGCCCUGACGCAGCAACGCCGCGUGAACGAUUAAGCCCUUCGGGGUGUAAAGUUCUGUCAGUAGGGACGAAACUUGACGGUACCUACAGAGGAAGCACCGGCUAACUCCGUGCCAGCCGCUGC
rnacentral:rRNA from 1 species